rnacentral:rRNA from 1 species
GGGCCCGCACAAGCGGUGGAGCAUGUGGUUUAAUUCGAUGCAACGCGAAGAACCUUACCAGGGCUUGACAUACUACAAAUUCUUUAGAGAUAGAGAAGUGCCUUCGGGAAUGUAGAUACAGGUGGUGCAUGGCUGUCGUCAGCUCGUGUCGUGAGAUGUUGGGUUAAGUCCCGCAAGAGCGCAACCCUUAUUUUUAGUUACUAAUUUCGUUAGGCUUUUCUAGAAAAGACUGCCGGUGACAAACCGGAGGAAGUGAGGAUGCGUCAAGUCAGCAUGCCCCUUAUGUCCUGGCUACACACGUGCUACAAUGGUUAAGACAAAGAGUCGCGAGCUCGCGAGAGUCAGCUAA